ACUCAAAUGAAUAGACGGGGGCCCGCACAAGCAGUGGAGUAUGUGGUUUAAUUCGAAGCAACGCGAAGAACCUUACCAGGUCUUGACAUCCCAAGAAUCCUGUAGAGAUACGGGAGUGCCUUCGGGAGCUUGGAGACAGGUGGUGCAUGGUUGUCGUCAGCUCGUGUCGUGAGAUGUUGGGUUAAGUCCCGCAACGAGCGCAACCCUUACGGUUAGUUGCUACGCAAGAGCACUCUAGCCGGACUGCCGUUGACAAAACGGAGGAAGGUGGGGACGACGUCAAAUCAUCAUGCCCCUUAUGACCUGGGCUACACACGUACUACAAUGGCGAUUAACAAAGGGAAGCAAGGCAGUGAUGCGGAGCAAAUCCCCAAAAAUCGUCUCAGUUCAGAUUGCAGGCUGCAACUCGCCUGCAUGAAGUCGGAAUUGCUAGUAAUCGCAGAUCAGCAUGCUGCGGUGAAUACGUUCCCGGGCCUUGUACACACCGCCCGU
rnacentral:rRNA from 1 species